UGAGGAGCUUUGGUAGGUAGUAUCGACGAUUGAUUUGAGGGUGAUGACAUCCGCAGCGUAUUGGUCGGCACCGAUUCGAGCCCCGACUCCGGAGCCACUGAGUUCAUUUCCUGAGGGCAAAAUUUUUCAAGGAUGGAACUGGAAAAACCUUACCGAGUUCCCAGCCAUGGAUGGUGUAACCCUUGUCGACGGUAUACUGAAUAAAAGACGCGGCAUUGGUGGAGUUCCAAGGUCCUCCUAGUGAACCAUCCCGCAAACGAAUGCGGCCGUUUAACGCGUUUAAUCCGAAGAUUAUCACAGCCCUGUGAAUUCAAGUGAGACAUUGAUCAGAAGUCGC